rnacentral:rRNA from 1 species
AGUCGAGCGGAUGACAGGAGCUUGCUCCUGAAUUCAGCGGCGGACGGGUGAGUAAUGCCUAGGAAUCUGCCUGGUAGUGGGGGACAACGUUUCGAAAGGAACGCUAAUACCGCAUACGUCCUACGGGAGAAAGCAGGGGACCUUCGGGCCUUGCGCUAUCAGAUGAGCCUAGGUCGGAUUAGCUAGUUGGUGAGGUAAUGGCUCACCAAGGCGACGAUCCGUAACUGGUCUGAGAGGAUGAUCAGUCACACUGGAACUGAGACACGGUCCAGACUCCUACGGGAGGCAGCAGUGGGGAAUAUUGGACAAUGGGCGAAAGCCUGAUCCAGCCAUGCCGCGUGUGUGAAGAAGGUCUUCGGAUUGUAAAGCACUUUAAGUUGGGAGGAAGGGCAUUAACCUAAUACGUUAGUGUUUUGACGUUACCGACAGAAUAAGCACCGGCUAACUCUGUGCCAGCAGCCGCGGUAAUACAGAGGGUGCAAGCGUUAAUCGGAAUUACUGGGCGUAAAGCGCGCGUAGGUGGUUUGUUAAGUUGGAUGUGAAGUCCCCGGGCUCAACCUGGGAACUGCAUUCAAAACUGACAAGCUAGAGUAUGGUAGAGGGUGGUGGAAUUUCCUGUGUAGCGGUGAAAUGCGUAGAUAUAGGAAGGAACACCAGUGGCGAAGGCGACCACCUGGACUGAUACUGACACUGAGGUGCGAAAGCGUGGGGAGCAAACAG